rnacentral:tRNA from 1 species
GGAUAUAGAUCCAUUGGAAGAGUGCUUGCCUUGCAUGCACAAGGCCCUGGGUUCAAUCCCCAGAACCA